CCUCCAACCCUUUCCUAGAUCCUAGAGAUCCCCUAUUCCCGCGAGGGAAGCUACUCCCGUAGCUAUUUUGGACCCCCGCUGGGCCCAAGCAGCGAAGGCCCUUCUCUCGCAGCGCCUCCCUAGAAUCCCGACCUCUCCUACCACUGCCGCGCCCCACCUAGCCGUUGACCCCGGCGGUGUCCACCACGACGCCUGAGUUUGCCGAAGGCGGCACCACUGGAACCGGCGUCCGCAGACGGCUCCUGUCCAUGGGCAGGGUCGACGCAGUUCCUCGACCCCGGCCUAUCUCGCGGUCAUAGGGCGAACCCUAGGUGCCGCCGCCAUGACCUCCUGGUCGCGACUCCUCGCGGCGCCGAUGACCUGUGUCCACUUCGCCUACAGGCCGACACGGUGCACUUCGGCGCUAACACGCGAUGCAGGACGGGUACACACACAAUGGCGCUGAAGGUGUUCCGAAGAGCAUGGUAUUUUUGUGGUUAAACAGGCAUCUGACGCAGGGAAGGGGAUGUGAGCGUUCGCUAACCAUUUAAGCAGCUGCUUUCUUGUUUGCAUGAAAGACGAUAUCAUUGAGGGAAUUUAUGAUACUUUCUCGGAAUGUGCUUCCAUAAGCAAAUCUGUGUCAAUUCACAAUGUUUGAGCUACUGGCAGUUAAAUUCGAGGAACUAAUGGAAUUGUCGCCAUCCUACGUGUUUUCAGUGAUACUGCAUGCUGUGUCGAUCAAGGUGGAGGAAAGAGAAAAGGUAAGUAGCUUCAGUUGGUCGGACCCAAUUUACAUAUUCUUAAUGGUUCUAUCUUUUAGGUGCAUUUGCUAUAUAUUUGGAGCCUUGGCAUGCUGAUAUUUAUGAGUUCCUUGAUUUGAGAAAGAACCAUCGGAAGGUAAACAUUCUAGAAGUAAUACGUAACACACUUCCAGGCAGAGAUACCCGAAACUGACUACCAGUUUGGAUUUACUUUUUUCGCACUGGAUCACCACCCUCAUGCUAUUGAUCUCUUUGUUCAUUUAUCAGGAACAGUAAUUUGCAAUGAGAAAAGCAUUUUAAUUAAUCUGAAUCAAUUGUUUAUGUACAAUUAGUUGUUCAUUUUUUUUUUAUUAUCUCUUGUAUUUUUAGUUGUUCAAGUGCUCCAUAUAUGCUUGCUCACUGUAUAUUGUAAGAGGGUGAUAACAAGAGUGGAUCUCUCAAGCUAAUUAGGCUUGAUGCUUCACACCCGCCGAUACAAUUUGUUUGGUUUGGUAAGGCCCUGAAGCAUUUUACAAACUACAGUUACAAAAUUAAUCUUGGCUUUGUUUUCUAUUCUUUUCGUAGCCAUCUUGUCAGAAUCAUUCAAACAAAAGCAAAAUCCUUUGGCCUACAAGGAAUAGUAAUUGAUAGAAUAUGCAUGGUUCAUGAAUCGUGAUAAGCGACACCUAUUAUCAACCAUUGCUGUUAAAUUUGAGCAUCAACCAAAAUAAGGUGACAUUGCCAAAGUGCAGAGUUUUUCCAAUUCCUCUUUAAUUACCUCUGGUCACGAACCAUUUGGUUUUGAAGUGCGAAAUAUUGCAUUGCGGAUAUCCCUUGUGUAACCGGAGAAUAUUUUGUCUUAUGAGUAGUUUUUUUAUUCCAAACCAUGCAAUUAGAGGAUUCAGAAUUCCUCUCUAGGGGGACCCUCGUUUAUGUCCGUGCUAUCAAUUCUCUUAAUAUUAACGUCUAAGAGAACUUCUCUUGCCGGAAGGGGCAGAGCAAGGAAUUUUAUUAAUGGGGGCCAAUGAAACAUGUAAAGCAUCAAAGGGGCCAUACAUAAGAAUUUAGACAUCAAAUGCAUUAACUCACAUAGCAUUUUGGGGUAACUUGAGAAACUUUUGUAGUGUGGGGGGAGCCAUGGCCCCAGCUCUCCCUUGUUGACUCCGUCCCUGUUGCUAGCCCAAGUCGCAAUUCAUUGUGCUUUAUUUAUCAUGUGAUGUGUAAUGUGAUUACGGUGUCACUGGGCGGUCUGCCUUUUCGUGCAGUUAGCGUGUGUGUGGUCGAAGCGUUGUACACGCUAUUCAAGAAAUCAGUAAUGUUGUGGUACAUGCCGGGCAAGGUUAGUGGAUAAACACCCAUCUCCUUAUUAAAGUAAAAAACAUACGGUGUUGUUCUCUCAGGUGCAUGUUGUGUAUAUGAUGGGUAACGAAUAACAUGAGUUGUGAUGCUUGUAUGUUGACAUGGUGCAGGAGUUUCAGCUGGCACUUUGGUAAGACCGAGAGUUUAUUUGUUGAUCGUGUAAGUCCACAUUGCACGUGUGCACACAUUUGCACUUUAUAUUGUACAAUGAAAAUGUCUCUCUUGUUUUUGCUUCUUUUUUUGUAUUCUAAUGUAAUUACUAUGGAAUCAGUCUCACUCUCAUUUUUGGCAUAUUACUUGGACUUUGGAGAUAAACAACAUACUGCUUAACAUUCUUUAGGGAUCAUAACCGAUCUAUGGCAAAGACAUUUGCCUAAUUGUAGAAUCAUGCAGAUCACUGAUACUAGAAGGGCUUUGAGGCCACGAUUAAGUUGGAAUUUGGUUUUACUUUCUGCGUUAUAUUUCCCAUUUUCAUUACAGGAUUUCACUCCUAUUAUGCCUAUUUUUUAGCAUGGCCUUUUAUGUACUACAUUUCAUGUAGUAAAUAAUGUUUCUGGCCAAAACAUCACCCCUGCAGACAUCUAAUUAGAAGCUUGGAGCAUAGAAAUAAGACUCGCCCUUGAAUAACUUGGUAGGUGUCAACUUGUUUGGAAGCUACCUUCAUGCAUACAAUAAAGAUGAGGCACUCUGGUUUUUUCUUAUCGAGUUGGCGUCAAUGCACGAUUAAGGUGGGGAUGAUGCCUGUAGUAGAACAUGUUGCUGAAGAAUUGUACGCGGAGCUUCUUAAAUGUGUAGUGUUGUGACUCGGGGAAGUUUUAGUAGGACCUAUGCUAAUUUGUAGUCAAAUUGCUUUUAUAUUUUGUGAUAAUGUUUUAUUAUAGCUAGCACCAAACAAUUAUAGUGUUUAUUAAGCGAUUUCCUUCUGA